UCUUGGAAUGUCCUGUGUAGGGCCAGGAGCUGAACUCAAUGAUCCUUGAUCAAAAAAACGUAUUUGUUUUACCUAAAGCAAACAACGACAUCCAUUAUGAACCUACUUCAGCUCCUUUGGUAUCUUGGAAUAGGCACACACUAAACAGAAAGUGACAUAUAUGUCACCCUCAUCAAUCGAUGACCAAUGGAUUAAUGGAGACAAAUGGUGACUUCAACAUAAGAACAUCUCUAAUCACUGUGAUCGCAUUUUCCUUCAAGCUUCCAGAUGCACCUCACUCUCCUCUGUCACUGGAAAAACAAGCAGUUACUUUCAGAAGGUGUCUGACAGAGACCUGCUGUAUCAUCAUUCAGCUCCCCAUGCAAGUUUCCCUGGAACACGACACGCAUUCCUUGGGCUCUUACCAAAUCACUCGCAAAAAUCUGUAAAUUCUGGUAUUGUGGCCAUAUAAAACAGAGAACCAUUCUGACUACAAAAGCGAAGAGAUCAAGUCACUACCAUCUUCCACCAAUUUGAUCUCUGUUUUCCUAAUACCCUGCAUUUUCUACAGUGCAUUUCUUUUAAGGACUUAGUGACAGGGACCUUAAUACAUCCUUCCCAGGAUCUCUGGCUGUCAGGACUCAGAGACACCUCAGUCCCUGCACAGAUCUGGUCACCAUCCUUUCUGACAAUGAGUAAAGGCGCACAGGCAGCACCCUGACAUAAUAAUAUUCAGGAAAUAAUCCUAAACAAAUUCCAUGAGUUUCAGUUUGGUGGCUGUAUUUCUAUAGGAACUAUGAAGCCAGGAAGUCCUAUUUUAUAAAUGUUUGCAUAAACAUAAGGAAAAAAACCCCAAAACAACAAAAUAACAGUGGGAAAAACAGUAUUUUGCAAAUUCAGUCUGAAGUAUACCAAAGCCCUCUGACAUACAGCAGUGAAAAUUAGUAGGUUGAAGCAAAUAUGAACUCAUUCCAGCACAAGUUUCUUUGCAUGGCCUAUAGUUACUGCAGGGUAUCACUUGACUAUGAAAGGAACUUCUUAAAUGAAAAAUAAAAUUAUAUAUAAACAAGAGUGCAACAUUUUUUCAGUUAUAAAAUAAUUG